AUAAGUUAAAGUCGGAGUCAUUUCAUUCUAAAGUUUAAAUUAUUUUAUGCAGUUUUUUGCUAUUUCAGAAAAAUUCCAAGUUAAAAAAAAUGACGAUGCUCAUUUUAUUCGUUAUUUUAUUAUCUUCCUGUUAUUUUUAUGUACCAGAAGUACAUGGAGCAACUAGCACAAGUGAUGACAAAAGUA